rnacentral:rRNA from 1 species
GAAAAACAGCAUCAUUGAAGGUGAAAAUCCUGUAAAUGAUAUGGACUACCAGUGCAUUUGUGAUACGGUUUCUAAGAGUCGAGUUGUUUGGGAAUGCAGCUCAAAGUGGGUGGUAAAUUCCAUCUAAGGCUAAAUAUAAGUGAGAGACCGAUAGCAUACAAGUACCGUGAGGGAAAGAUGAAAAGAACUUUGAAAAUAGAGUUAACAGUACGUGAAAUUGCUGAAAGGGAAACGUUUGAAGUUAGUAUUGUAUUCGUUGGAUCAGCUUCGCAAGAGGUCUAUUCCGAUGAUAAGCAAGUCAACAUCAGUCUAUGAGUGUUGGAAAAGAGGCUCGAGAAUGUAGCAAUUUAAUUGUGUUAUAGCUUGGGACUUUGACUACAACGCUCUUGAUUGAGGAACGCGUAGUAAGCUUUGAGCGGGUUCGAAAGAGCCUCCUUACUAUGGAUGUUGGUGAAAUAACUUUAAGCGACCCGUCUUGAAACACGGACCAAGGAGUCUAACAUGCUUGCGAGUAUUAGGGCGUUGAAACCCGAAUGCGUAAUGAAAGUGAUUUCAGAUGUGAUCCGCAAGGUGCAACAUCGGCCGGUCCUGAUUAUUUAUAUGACGGUACUGAGCAAGAGCAAGUAUGUUAGGACCCGAAAGAUGGUGAACUAUGCCUGGAUAGGGUGAAGUCAGAGGAAACUCUGAUGGAAGCUCGUAGCGGUUCUGACGUGCAAAUCGAUCGUAGAAUCUGGGUA